rnacentral:lncRNA from 1 species
GUUGAACAUCUGUGGCCCCCUGGUGUUCCUUCAUACACAGAAAGAGCUGCCCCCAAGUUGUCAGUAAUAGAGGGUAUGGGGCGGUACCUAAACCUUGUUCUCUCUUUGCAUGUCCACCAGGAGGGCCAGUGGGUAGAGUCUAGAAAACAAAUCAACAGAGAUUCUUGAGGGACUGAAAACAAACUGAGCCUCCAAAUGAAGAGAUAAUUGGGAUUACAAUCUGGGAUUAGCCAUGGCAAUGGGACAUAACAAUCUAUGACCUCUAGGAUUCUGGAUAGCAUAGGGACUUUUCUGUCAUAAUUGGGACCCGUGGCAACCAAAUCAAUGACACUGGGUUGUCAGUGUCAGUAAAGGCCUGCUUUCUGCCUAUACUCAAAUCCCCUUGGGCCCUUGACUUUUUAACUUGCCCUACAAAACAAGUAUCCCUGAAGAUUCAUGUGUGAAUUCGUAGUAACUGGAUACUGGGAUUUAGAUUCUAUGGUAGCCUGGCAACUGGACACAAUAGAAUCUGUGACCUCAGGUCAGAUAGUGUCCAUUCUGGAGAGCUGCAGCUCUGGAUUGUGGGAUGGACAAAGAGGAGUCCCCCAUCAUCCACAGGUAUCCGCUUGGUCUUAUUUCCUCAUUUGUGUUCAUAGAUGAGUUUGUAAAUAUGACUUUAUGUGUGUUUGUGAGUGUGUACAUCACCUCCAUUCUCCCACUUUGCCCUUUGGACUCUCUAUAUGUAGGUGUGUGUGGAAUCCAUAAAAAAACCCCAGCAGCAGGCCCGUAUGACUGCAUUCAAGAGAUGUCUAGGCUAUUCAGGAUCAUAACGGGAGAGGAGGAGUGUAACCCUGGCAGUGAGACAAACGAAAUCUUUGACCUUCUUGAAGUUUGUCUUUAACCAUGAGUAGGCACAAUCGGUAAACAAGUCAAUAAAUAUCCUCGAGGAAGGGCCUUCA